rnacentral:hammerhead_ribozyme from 1 species
GCACUGAUGAGGAGUCCCACAAUAGGACGAAACGGUUGUCCAAUGC